rnacentral:rRNA from 1 species
UACGUAGGGGGGCAAGCGUUGUCCGGAAUCAUUGGGCGUAAAGAGCGUGUAGGCGGCCAGAUAAGUCCGCUGUGAAAUCUCGAGGCUCAACUUCGAGCUGUCGGUGGAAACUGUCUGGCUAGAGUCCGGAAGAGGAGAAUGGAAUUCCUGGUGUAGCGGUGAAAUGCGCAGAUAUCAGGAAGAACACCCGUGGCGAAGGCGGUUCUCUGGGACGGUACUGACGCUGAGACGCGAAAGCGUGGGGAGCAAACAGG